UGGGGAAUAUUGCACAAUGGGCGGAAGCCUGAUGCAGCGACGCCGUGUGCGGGAUGACGGCCUUCGGGUUGUAAACCGCUUUCAACUGUGACGAAUUUGACGGUAGCAGUAGAAGAAGCACCGGCUAACUACGUGCCAGCAGCCGCGGUGAUACGUAGGGUGCGAGCGUUGUCCGGAUUUAUUGGGCGUAAAGGGCUCGUAGGCGGCCUAUUGCGUCGGGAGUGAAAACCUGCGGCUUAACCGUGGGCUUGCUUUCGAUACGGGUAGACUUGAGGGAGGUAGGGGAGAACGGAAUUCCUGGUGGAGCGGUGGAAUGCGCAGAUAUCAGGAGGAACACCAGUGGCGAAGGCGGUUCUCUGGACCUUUCCUGACGCUGAGGAGCGAAAGCGUGGGGAGCAAACA
rnacentral:rRNA from 1 species